GAUGAACGCUGGCGGCGUGCUUAACACAUGCAAGUCGAACGGAAAGGCUCCUGCCUGCAGGGGUACUCGAGUGGCGAACGGGUGAGUAACACGUGGGUGAUCUGCCCUGUACUUCGGGAUAAGCUUGGGAAACUGGGUCUAAUACCGGAUAUGACAAUCUCUUGGAUGGGGUUGUGGAAAGCUUUUGCGGUAUGGGAUGAGCUCGCGGCCUAUCAGCUUGUUGGUGGGGUAAUGGCCCACCAAGGCGUCGACGGGUAGCCGGCCUGAGAGGGUGUACGGCCACAUUGGGACUGAGAUACGGCCCAGACUCCUACGGGAGGCAGCAGUGGGGAAUAUUGCACAAUGGGCGCAAGCCUGAUGCAGCGACGCCGCGUGGGGGAUGACGGCCUUCGGGUUGUAAACUCCUUUCGCAACCGACGAAGCUUUUGUGACGGUAGGUUGAGAAGAAGCACCGGCUAACUACGUG
rnacentral:rRNA from 1 species